rnacentral:tRNA from 1 species
AGCCGGUUAGCUCAGAUGGAUUAGAGCGGCCGCCUUCUAACCUUGUUUGCAAUUAACAAAGGAUGUCAGCGGCAGGUCGCGGGUUCGAGUCCCGUAUCGGCUA